rnacentral:tRNA from 1 species
GGUAUCAUGGUGAAAGGGUUAUCACUCUGGACUCCGAAUCCAACGAUCCGAGUACAAAUCUCGGUGACGCCU